UGUCCAGUUUUAUCGUUGUCAGGAAGAACAUCAUCUUCUUCUGCCACGUUUUGAAGCCUUUGCCAUCAAACUUGUCUGGCAUCAACCCUUGAGUGAACAAGCUAGGUACAGCCGGAGGAGUUUGAACUGCCACCGGACCACUUGCAGUUGCUGAUACUGAACCCGUCUGAUAAAGACCAGCACCGAAUAGGCUACGGCGAGUGGUUUCAUCAGCAGCAUUUCCCGCAGGGAGGAUAGUGCUCGUUGUUGCUGCAGCGGUUGUCAAGCCAGUUGCAUCAGUUGCUGCAGCGUUGAGUGGAGUCUGAAUGACAUCCGUGGUGUCAAUGGGGGUGUUGUUAUCGUUUGUCAUUUUUCUGCAGAGAAAACAUGAAAAAACGGAUUAGUACUCCAUUCAACAAAUAAUAUAUUAUUUUAAGGAAAAUAAUAGUCUAAAAUCGAUGUUCAUUUUUGGUGUUUGAACCAAAUUAUAUCGAUAUAAGUCUUGAAAAAAUGUUUUGCAAGCUCGCUUAGAAGCGUUUGCAGAAACCAUUUUUAUAGACUUAGAAUGUUUCACAAACUCACUUAGAAACCAUUAUCAAAAAAAGUUUUGCGAAAAAUGCUACAAAGCAAUCCGCAAAGCGUAAUGAAAUAAACAAUAAACGUUUCGCGGAAGUGCUAAAAAGCAAAUCGCAAACACGUUACGAAAUAAGAACAAACGUUUCGCGGAAGUGCUAGAAAGCAAAUCGCAAACCCCGUUAUGAAAUAAGAAUAAACGUUUCGCGGAUGUGCUAGAAAGCAAAUCGCAAACACGGUUCCAAAAUCCGUUUUUAUAAUCGUUCUUCAACCCGAUUUGAGCUUUAGACAUAAAGCGAUUUUGAGUUAAGAUUGUUGAAGCCGGAAAACCGUACUGACAUAAACGAUAAAAUAAAAGCGAUGUUAAGGAAAUAAACGAAUGUAAAAACGAAUACAAGAACGAUAAGAAAUCGUAUUCGCGAAGAGACAUGGAGUCGAGAUAUGAUCUCUUUCCUUAACUCAAAAUAUUCGCUCCGUUAGUGAGACGGGACUGUACGAAUAUGGAGUCCCAGGAUACAACCAUGGCAGACGAAUCACGCGUCACUCGUGAUCGCCCUAUCGAACUAUAAACUCCACGAAACACUCUCGUAUUUAAGACUUACGCAAAGGGAUUUUCGCUGUUGGUUUGAUGUGUAAACGUUAGAGAAAUGAGAAGAGAGACGAGUUGUAUUUAACGAGAUGGACGAGGAGCGACUUCCAGUAACUGUUGCAUAACGUGCGCUCGUUAGUGGGGAUUUGGCAAAGAUUUCGGGAAGUUCAAGUUACGAACUUAUUCCCCAAGACUCGCUAUCUCUCUCUUUCUUAUCUCGUUUAAAUAUCUCGAGAGGAUAAACAUCAUGACGUUUUUAUUUUGUAGACAAACUGCUUGUCGUUUCAAAAUAAAAUGCAUGUUGUUUUUGAGAUUUAAAAUGGCAAAAUGUGGAGCUUACGGCGGUGCGCGUGGAGAGUCUCUUCCUUCUCUGACUCGUUUAAACAAGUGAGUGUGUUAUCCCAUAUAUAAACAUCUCACUUUUGCUCCUCUUCCCCGAUGUGGAACAAACUCAUUACUACUCUAUUAGUAUUUCUGGGCUUUUCAUUUAAAUGAAACCCAAAAACAUUUCUUUUCAUUUAUGAACAAAGCCAUUGGGCUUUAUUGAUCCAACAAGGUGAAGUUUUGAGUAACGUUUACAUACAAAUGAUUAGUGACAAAAAACAAAAAGGAUUGAGAGAGGUCUUCAAAUAUGCCAAGGUGCAGAUAUGCAAUAGAAUAUGCCACCGACAAAGAAAGUAAUAUGGACGGCUGAGAUAACUUCUUAGGGGAUCGUAUAAGAUCUGACCAAGCAAAAUGAACUUUUCUUUCAAUUGUCAUAGUACCAAUUUUUAAAAAACUUUUACCACAUACUUGAUAUCAAUUUAAAUUUAUUUUAAAAAUAAUCAUCUUCAUUAAUACUUUAAUUUUAUAAUAAAAAUUAAACUAACUUUUAUUAAUCAUUUAUAAAAGCUUAUAAACCCAACCACAAAUAUAAAUAAUAAAUCAUGAACAAUAAUUACAAAACACUAAAAUCAAAUGCUAGAGUAUUUUGAUUGAGUGUAAAUUUUAAAAAUAUUAGUUAACUUAUGAUAUUUCGAAUAAUUGUUUUUUAGAGUUUAGUGAUUAUUGUUUAGGGUUUAAUAUCUAGGGAUGAAAUUGAAUUUAAAUACUUCUAUAAAUGUUUUGUCAAUUAUUUAUAAACAUUUAUAAAUAGUUUAGGGUAAUUAAUUGAACAUUUAACUUUUUAAUCAUAAAUUUAAAAUAAUUAUUUAAAAUAUAAAUUUGAAAAUAGUAUUAAAUUUGUGGUACAACUGUAAUUUCAUAAGAACAACAAAAAUUAUCUAAAACAUCAUACAUAUUGAAAUAGAAGAAGUAUAAAAAUUAUCUAAAACAUCAUACAUAUUGCACAAAAAAUACAUACAUAAGUAGCUAAAUGUCUCUAUAAAUUGGAAUUGCACAUAAUGAAAUUGCGGACUGUUUAUUACGAGAUCAUUUCAUAGAGAGCUUUGUUAUAUUGGUUAUUCUAUUUCGGUCUGGUUAUCCAGAUUACCUCAAGUCUGAGUAAUAGAAUUGUUCGUUGUAAAAAAAGAAUAAAAAAAAAUAUAUAUAUCUUUAUAUAUAAAGUAUGGUUUGCUCUCUCAGAGCCACCUAGGAUUCCAGCUAGAUAAGUCAAAGUUUCUGGUGUCGACACGUGUCCACUAUUGAAAACUCACCGUAUCACUUAAACUCCAGCGAUGGGCUUUUUGGAUUUUUGUGGCCCGCGAAGAUGGAAUCCUGCCUAAUCCUAAUUUUGACGCCGCUCUUCUUCAUCUUCACGUAGGGGAACCAAUCAAUCUAGGGUUCAUCCUUUUCUUCCAUAUUUGUAAGCUCAAUCGACAAUGGUGUUUUCUGAAAGUUUUUCUGCAACAAAUCUUUAUAGUGAAUCUCUUGCUCGAGCUCAGUUCAUUCUGUUUCUUCUGGGAUUCUUUUCUUUGGAACGUUACGAACUGCAUUGAAUCAUCAUCAUUAACAACUGACUUUACUCUUCCAUUCACUCCUACCAUGAUUUUCUCAUUCAUUGCAUCUUCCCUCUCUGAAAAGCGGUGGAUUAGCUAUAAAAAGGACCCUACAAAUCCUAUGCCAAAAGAUACAAUUUUGGAUGUUCUUAGAAUUUUAGUUGGAAUUUUAGUUGUUGUAAAAAAAUCCAUCAAAUUCUCAUUCAUUGUAAAGCCUGAAAGUUAUUUGCAAGAUAUUAGUGGUUUGAUGGUUAUGGUAAACUCAAUAUGAAUGCAUCAUAUGACAAGUUGUUUGGUGGGGUUUUAAGAAAAGUCCAGAGCUGGUGUUUAUCAUCGGUGCUAUAACAUCUUGCUUACCUUCAGGUUCUUCUCAAUAGAGCAAUAAACUUUGUUCUGUUUUUAUUUAUCUUUGAUGAUUGACUCAGAAUGUGCUUUAGUUUUGCAGAUUUCUGAAAUCUUAUAACAACGCAUGGCUAUCUGAAGGAUCCCAUCAAAGUUCGUUUGAUGACUCUUAACUCUUAAGCUUUAAAUUAUAUAUUACAUGACUAUCUCUGUAGAAAUCCAUAGUUUGUGCUAAGCUACAGAAGAUAUCUCUCUGCUGCACUUAGCCGAUAAGUUGAUCCCUUUGGACCACAAGUCUGCGUGUUGAAAGUGGAGACAAAUGGAUUUGAAUUUCAUAGAGGAAUCUGAUAUUGUGAGAUUGAGGCAGUGUCUCUUGAGCUUUAUGUAUUAUUAUCACGGCUAUGGCUUCACAGCAAUCGUUGGCAUUAACGGUUUUCUUAACUCCUUCAUUAAUGGACAAAAUGGGCAAAUGGACAUAACGAUCGGACAUGAAUUGUUGCUUUAAGUCUUCUUUCUCCUUCACUAUCACCACAAGUAGCAAGAUGACUACUAUGAAGGCUAUCGUUGAUCUGUAAUUUUUUUCUCAAUAUCUAAAAACAAAAUUGAAUAAGCCAGGUUAUAAAGAAGCUUUGCAAUCUGGUGUUUUGUGAUUAUCUAUUAAUUUACUGUAAUCAUGUUGAGGUAGAUCAUCUUCCUGUUCGUCUUGGUCGUAUGUUUGUUAGAGACAUGACACUAAGGAAGUUGACUUUGCCAUUUAGAAAAUGGACUUGGUCCUUUUAGUUUUAAAAUAUUAUUAUUUCGUGCACAA